UGGGCAACCUGCCCCAGACUCUGGGAUAACUCCGGGAAACCGGGGCUAAUACCGGAUACUCCGAUCGGACGACAUCGUCUGACCGGGAAAGCUCCGACGGUCUGGGAUGGGCCCGCGGCCUAUCAGCUUGUUGGCGAGGUAACGGCUCACCAAGGCGACGACGGGUAGCUGGUCUGAGAGGACGACCAGCCACACUGGAACUGAGAUACGGUCCAGACUCCUACGGGA
rnacentral:rRNA from 1 species